CUACGGGCGGCUGCAGUGGGGAAUAUUGCACAAUGGGCGAAAGCCUGAUGCAGCAACGCCGCGUGCGGGAUGAAGGCCCUAGGGUUGUAAACCGCUUUCAGCAGGGAAGAAAAUGACGGUACCUGUAGAAGAAGGUGCGGCCAACUACGUGCCAGCAGCCGCGGUGACACGUAGGCACCAAGCGUUGUCCGGAUUUAUUGGGCGUAAAGAGCUCGUAGGCGGUUCAGUAAGUCGGGUGUGACAACUCUGGGCUCAACCCAGAGACGCCACCCGAUACUGCUGUGACUAGAGUGCGGUAGGGGAGCGGGGAAUUCCUAGUGUAGCGGUGAAAUGCGCAGAUAUUAGGAGGAACACCAGUGGCGAAGGCGCCGCUCUGGGCCGUAACUGACGCUGAGGAGCGAAAGCGUGGGUAGCAAACAGGAUUAGAUACCCCAGUAGUC
rnacentral:rRNA from 1 species